GGUGUGCGCCCCCGGCGCUGGAGCAGCCGCGUUUCGGGGACCCGGGCAGGCGUGGGGGGCUGCGCUGAGCUCCAGGCCUCCUGCAGGUGCAAUAAGAAUCGUAUUACUAAUGUGGUGUCCUCUGGAAUGGUCACAUGAACACAGUUCCCUGCAGAUGUAAUUGGGAGAGAAGGCACAGUCCUGACACAGGGACGGAACAUGCUGCUGGUUUUUCCAUGUCUCGGUCUCCUUCUGCUGAGUAUUCUUCUAUUUCAAUCAUGGGUGUAGCAGCCCAUUUCAACAUACUGAAAACACUCAC
rnacentral:lncRNA from 1 species